rnacentral:rRNA from 1 species
GACGAACGCUGGCGGCGUGCCUAAUACAUGCAAGUCGAACGAGAGCGACCGGUGCUUGCACUGGUCAAUCUAGUGGCGAACGGGUGAGUAACACGUGGGUAACCUGCCCAUCAGAGGGGGAUAACAUCCGGAAACGGAUGCUAAAACCGCAUAGGUCUUCGAACCGCAUGGUUUGAAGAGGAAAAGAGGCGCAAGCUUCUGCUGAUGGAUGGACCCGCGGUGCAUUAGCCAGUUGGUGAGGUAACGGCUCACCAAGGCCGUGAUGCAUAGCCGACCUGAGAGGGUGAUCGGCCACAUUGGGACUGAGACACGGCCCAAACUCCUACGGGAGGCAGCAGUAGGGAAUCUUCCGCAAUGGACGCAAGUCUGACGGAGCAACGCCGCGUGAGUGAAGAAGGUUUUCGGAUCGUAAAACUCUGUUGUUAGAGAAGAACAAGUGCUAGAGUAACUGUUAGCGCCUUGACGGUAUCUAACCAGAAAGCCACGGCUAACUACGUG